CGCAGCCGCGGUAAUUCCAGCUCCAAUAGCGUAUAUUAAAGUUGUUGCAGUUAAAAAGCUCGUAGUUGAAUUUCGGGACCAAUUGAUUGGUCAUGCCUACGGUAUGUACUAGUCAUAUUGGUUCUCACCUUCUAAUGAACCUUAAUGUCAUUCACUUGAUGUUUUGGGGAAUUAGGACUGUUACCUUGAAAAAAUUAGAGUGUUUAAAGCAGGCUUACGCUUGAAUACAUUAGCAUGGAAUAAUGAAAUAGGACAUCGCAUUCUAUUUUGUUGGUUUCUAGGAUCGAUGUAAUGAUUAAUAGGGAUAGUUGGGGGCAUUAGUAUUCAAUUGUCAGAGGUGAAAUUCUUGGAUUUAUUGAAGACUAACUACUGCGAAAGCAUUUGCCGAGGAUGUUUUCAUUAAUCAAGAACGAAAGUUAGGGGAUCGAAGACGAUCAGAUACCGUCGUAGUCUUAACCAUAAACUAUGCCGACUAGGGAUCGGAUGAUGUUAAUUUUUAAAUGACUCAUUCGGCACCUUA
rnacentral:rRNA from 1 species